rnacentral:rRNA from 1 species
UUCGCAAUGCCCGAAAGGGUGACGAAGCGACGCCGCGUGGGUGAAGAAGGCCUUCGGGUUGUAAAACCCUGUCAGGAGUUAAGAAAUGUAGGUUCGAAAAUAUUGGGCCUAUUUGACAAAAACUCCAAAGGAAGCCACGGCUAACUCUGUGCCAGCAGCCGCGGUAAUACAGAGGUGGCGAGCGUUGUUCGGAAUUAUUGGGCGUAAAGAGCACGUAGGUGGAUUUGUAAGUCAGAUGUGAAAGCCUUCUGUUCAACGGAAGAAUUGCAUCUGAAACUACAAACCUUGAGUAUAGGAGGGGAGAGUGGAACUUCUGGUGGAGCGGUGAAAUGCGUAGAUAUCAGAAGGAACACCGGCGGCGAAAGCGACUCUCUGGCCUAUUACUGACACUGAGUGUGCGAAAGCUAGGGGAGCAAACGGGAUUAGAUACCCCGGUAGUCCUAGCCGUAAACGAUGGGCACUAA